rnacentral:rRNA from 1 species
AGUGAACGCUGGCGGUAGGCCUAACACAUGCAAGUCGAACGGCAGCACAGUAAGAGCUUGCUCCUACGGGUGGCGAGUGGCGGACGGGUGAGGAAUACAUCGGAAUCUACUUUUUCGUGGGGGAUAACGUAGGGAAACUUACGCUAAUACCGCAUACGACCUACGGGUGAAAGCAGGGGAUCUUCGGACCUUUCGCGAUUGAAUGAGCCGAUGUCGGAUUAGCUAGUUGGCGGGGUAAAGGCCCACCAAGGCGACGAUCCGUAGCUGGUCUGAGAGGAUGAUCAGCCACACUGGAACUGAGACACGGUCCAGACUCCUACGGGAGGCAGCAGUGGGGAAUAUUGGACAAUGGGCGCAAGCCUGAUCCAGCCAUACCGCGUGGGUGAAGAAGGCCUUCGGGUUGUAAAGCCCUUUUGUUGGGAAAGAAAAGCAGCAGGUUAAUACCCCGCUGUUCUGACGGUACCCAAAGAAUAAGCACCGGCUAACUUCGUG